AUAAUAGGUAUUUAAAAAUGAAUUUUUUAUAUAUAAAAAAGGAAAGUCUGGACUCUAAUAAAUAUUAAUUAAUAAUUAAUAAGGAAAACCUUAAGUCAUUUACUAGAGAUAAAAACCUAACAGUGUAAAUUUAAGAAAACUUAAAUAUUAACAACUAUAUGGUUGUUAUAUAAAUAAAGACUUAUUUAGAGCAAAAUAAUUAAAUAUUGUUAAAAAAACAAUUACUGUUUUUUAGAUUAAUCAUUUUUAAACUAAAUCCGGCUUAUUAAUACCUAUUCAAUAAAU
rnacentral:RNase_P_RNA from 1 species